AUUAAGCCAUGCAUGUCUAAGCAUAAAUUCUAGUAUGAUGAAGCUGCGGACGGCUCAGUACAACAGUUAUAAUCUUUUUGAUGAAAGGAUGGAUAAGGAUAUCUUUGAGAAUGUCAAAGCUAAUACUUGUCGAUUUAAUCCAUAAUGAGUGCGUUGGUCUCUGAUCAAUUCAAUCAUUGUGGUGUGAUCAAGUGUAUACUUGGUCCGGGAAUCGCCACCUCUUUUGUGAAUAAGGGUGGUAAAUCCAAUGAGAUAAUUGUUUGAAACGAAAGUUUUGUACAAGUCAUCAUUAAGAAUUUCUGACCUAUCAAUUUUGUUGGUAAGGUAGUGGCUUACCAAGAUUAUAACGGGUAACGAGGAAUCAGGGUUCGACAUCGGAGAGGGAGCUUUAGAAAUGGCUACCACUUCUAAGGAAGGCAGCAGGCGCGAAAAUUACCCAAUCUUAACUAAUAAAGGAGGUAGUGACGACAAUUAACUCUUUCAUCAUCCAUGUGGUGAUGAUUGUUGGAAUGACUACGAUCCAAAUCUUCGUAGGAAAUCGAUUGGAGGGCAAGUCUGGUGCCAGCAGCCGCGGUAAUUCCAGCUCCAAUAGUGUAUCUUAAAAUUGUUGUGAUUAAAACGCUCGUAGUUGAAUUUGAACAAGGGGAAUCUUUCUUACUUUAAUGUUUCAGGUCUAGAAUUCGUUCGAAACUUGUAACAUUUUAAGUGUAGAAGUUUGAUUUCUCAUUAAAAGAAUAGAGAAGGAAACUUUUCUAUGCUUUGCUUUGGAACAAUCCCAAUGCUUAAAAUAAAAACUUUUGUUAAUGAACGUUGACCAGAGUACAAACGUGAAAACAGAAUAUUGAUUUUAUGAUCCGAAGUUGGAGAUGAGAGCAAUCUCAUUCAAAUGGAGGUUCUGUCUUAUUUUGUUUUAAAUAAGAUUAAAAGAAAUGAUUGGGGUGAUCUAGAUAGGAACGGGAGAGGUGAAAAUCCAUGAUCGUUUCGAGAUAAACGAGAGCGAAAGCAUUUCACUAAAUUCAUUUCAUUAAUCAAGAACGAAAGUCAGGGAAUCAAAGACGAUUAGAUACCGUCGUAGUCCUGACCAUAAACGAUGUCAACUGAGGAUUGGAUUAGAAAAUAACUGAGAUUGUACCAACUUUCUCAUCGGAGAUAGCUUGGUAUGCUCAAUAACUUCCCUUAUUCAGAACUCAAUGAGAAAUCAUUAAGUGUUUGGACUUCAGGGGGAGUAUGGUCACAAGGCUGAAACUUAAAGGAAUUGACGGAAGGGCACACCAGGAGUGGAGCCUGCGGCUUAAUUUGACUCAACACGGGAAAACUUACCAAGACCGAACGGUGUUAGGAAUGACAGGUUACUGGAUCUUUCAUGAUUCAUCGGGGAGUGGUGCAUGGCCGUUCUUAGUUCGUGGAGUGAUUUGUCUGGUUAAUUCCGAUAACGAACGAGACUUGAACUUGCUAAUUAGUUGAACAAGGUUUCCUUGUUUAUAGCUUUCGGGCUGCUUGUAUUUUUCAAGACUUCUUAGAGGGACAAAUCUUUAUUCCUUUGUGCCGUAUUUGUUUUAUUCGGUCUCCUCGGAGAUUCGAGUGUCCAAUUACGGUCACAAAACAAAAAGAAGGAAGCAUCAAGCAAUAACAGGUCUGUGAUGCCCUUAGACAUCUUGGGCUGCACGCGUGCUACAAUGAAAGUACUAGAGAGUUCACGUUUCAUUUAUGAUGGAAGAGCCUCCGCUCGGAAAUCAAACUUGGAACAUAUACCUACCCCGAAAGGGGAUGGAAAGCUCUAAUGUCUUUUUUAUUCUUGACUGGGAUGAAUGAUUGGAAUUUUUGUUCUGAACAA
rnacentral:rRNA from 1 species